UUAGAGUUUGAUCAUGGCUCAGGACGAACGCUGGCGGCGUGCCUAACACAUGCAAGUCGAACGGAACCAAGGAGCUUGCUCUUUGGUUUAGUGGCGGACGGGUGAGUAACGCGUGAGCAACCUGGCUUUCAGAGGGGGACAACAGCUGGAAACGGCUGCUAAUACCGCAUAAUAUAACGAAGUGGCAUCGCUUUGUUAUCAAAGAUUUAUCGCUGAAAGAUGGGCUCACGUCCGAUUAGUUAGUUGGUGAGGUAAUGGCUCACCAAGACCGCGAUCGGUAGCCGAGCUGAGAGGCUCUACGGCCACAUUGGGACUGAGAUACGGCCCAGACUCCUACGGGAGGCAGCAGUGGGGGAUAUUGGUCAAUGGGGGAAACCCUGAACCAGCAACGCCGCGUGAAGGAAGAAGGCUUUCGGGUUGUAAACUUCUUUUAAGAGGGAAGAAAAAAAUGACGGUACCUCUUGAAUAAGCCACGGCUAACUACGUGCCAGCAGCCGCGGUAAUACGUAGGUGGCAAGCGUUGUCCGGAUUUACUGGGUGUAAAGGGCGCGUAGGCGGGAUGGCAAGUCAGAUGUGAAAUACC
rnacentral:rRNA from 2 species